rnacentral:rRNA from 1 species
AUUGAACGCUGGCGGCAGGCCUAACACAUGCAAGUCGAACGAGUGGCGGACGGGUGAGUAAUGUCUGGGAAACUGCCUGAUGGAGGGGGAUAACUACUGGAAACGGUAGCUAAUACCGCAUACCAUCAGAUGUGCCCAGAUGGGAUUAGCUAGUAGGUGGGGUAACGGCUCACCUAGGCGACGAUCCCUAGCUGGUCUGAGAGGAUGACCAGCCACACUGGAACUGAGACACGGUCCAGACUCCUACGGGAGGCAGCAGUGGGGAAUAUUGCGCAAUGGGGGCAACCCUGACGCAGCCAUGCCGCGUGAAUGAAGAAGGCCUUCGGGUUGUAAAGUUCUUUCGGUGACGAGGCGUUACCAACAGAAUAAGCACCGGCUAACUUCGUGCCAGCCGCCGCGGUAAUUC